CCUACGGGAGGCAGCAGUGGGGAAUAUUGGACAAUGGGCGCAAGCCUGAUCCAGCAAUGCCGCGUGAGUGAUGAAGGCCUUAGGGUCGUAAAGCUCUUUUACCAGGGAUGAUAAUGACAGUACCUGGAGAAUAAGCUCCGGCUAACUCCGUGCCAGCAGCCGCGGUAAUACGGAGGGAGCUAGCGUUGUUCGGAAUUACUGGGCGUAAAGCGUACGUAGGCGGUUAUUCAAGUCAGAGGUGAAAGCCCGGGGCUCAACCCCGGAACGGCCUUUGAAACUAGGUAGCUAGAAUCUUGGAGAGGUCAGUGGAAUUCCGAGUGUAGAGGUGAAAUUCGUAGAUAUUCGGAAGAACACCAGUGGCGAAGGCGACUGACUGGACAAGUAUUGACGCUGAGGUACGAAAGCGUGGGGAGCAAACAGGAUUAGAUACCCUGGUAGUCCACGCCGUAAACGAUGAUAACUAGCUGUUCGGGCACUUGGUGCUUGAGUGGCGCAGCUAACGCAUUAAGUUAUCCGCCUGGGGAGUACGGUCGCAAGAUUAAAACUUAAGGAAUUGACGG
rnacentral:rRNA from 1 species